GGAGACACUCUGGGAGCCCAGCUGAGCGGUGCUUGGUGUCAUAGCAAACACAAUUAGCAAAAUGGCAUCCAGAGUGGCUUUAUGGAGUUGCCCGGUGAUAAUCAUCUCAACAAAAAAUUGAAGAGAGCCAACAAUAGGAAGAGAAAGCAGUGACUAAAAGAAGAAUCAAGAACAAAGCAAAAGAGUGAAAAUACUUACCAAGAUGAUGCCUUUGAAUAUUCCUUCCCUACCCUAGUCACAUGCCGUUCAGCUCAGAAACCAGUGAUCCCUGCUUGAUAAGCUGGCCUUACAUCUUCAUCUCCAAAUAAAUACCAUUAAACAGUGGUUGAAAACUGCUUUAGCCUUCAGGUCUCUGAUCAUGGAUGCUCUCCCAGCACCUACCAGCCAUGACCACUUGAAAUGAGCAAAAGAUAAAUGCUUGCAUGAAUGAGAUUAUCGUCAGCAAAAGCCAACAUGUGGAGGCCGAGGACAAAACUGAGCAACAUGGUCUGCUGCUUUCAGAGAUUGGAAAUGCUAGCAAGAGGAAUGAUAUACAUCGUGUGAUAAAAGAAGAGUACAGAAAUAUCCACCAACAGCUAUUAAACGCAGCUGUCUCAUGGCAAAACUGAAGGGCUCCACUGGAAAAUGUAUAACACUUCCAACCCCCAGAGGGUGGGAAGAGAGUCAGAAUCCAGAGAGAUCUUAAGAGGGAGACAUGACUGGGACCAGAUACUACGAGUAGAAGGUGAUCGGUGGGCCUCUACAGUCCUAAAAAGAGCUGAGAAUGUGGACUGUUAUCCUCUGUGAGCAGUAUUUAAGUGAUAAGACUCCUUGUUCUAGAAGACUUGCAGGAGGAAGGGUAGGGCAUCUUGGUUUCCUGCCAAAGAGGGAUCCAGAAUUGGCUUCAUCUUACAGGGGACCAGUGACUAGAACGAGAAACUGUCAAAACUAGGAAAAGGCCCCAGGCUGUCCUUGGUGUGGGUGUCUCCACUGCAGUAGGCAGGAGUAGAAGGGGAGAAGCCAGGAGUUCAGAGCACUUCAGGCACCCAGAGACCCUUGGGAAUUCCCUGUCAUCUCAUGUUCUGCAAAUGGAGGCCUCACUGGAGGCCAGAGCCUGGAUGCCAAGCCAGGGAGGAGAAUGUUCAUUUCCAGUUCUCCUAGGAGAGCUGGGGCACAGAGGGGAGCAGCUGAGACAUCAGCAGUCCAGAAGUGAUCCUGAAGCACAUACUGGACAACUACAGAGCUGAGAUGCUUAUUGUUUGCACUAUUAUUUGUGGAGGGAGCUAGAGCAGUGGGCUCGCUAGUACACGUGGUCUAUCUGCUCUACAAGAAUACACUAGAAAGCAAUGAUAGCUAUGCUCCAGAGUGAGAAAGACAAGAGUUGAGGAGAAGCACUCACAUGUGUCUGGAGGCUGAGUUGUACACUCAGAUCUUAUUCAGACCAAACCAACAGGGUGGGAACAACCCACUGGGUUUUUUUUUUUUUUCCUUUUUUACGUAAAUUUUACUGUACUUAGAAUAAUCAUCCUAGGUAAGUGAAGAGUUGAUAAAUGAACUCAAUCUGCAGGGUCUUGUAAGAGCAGAGCUGUGCAUAAUUACACGAUUGCCCUGGGGGCUGUGCUUUAUUCUACUGAGUAGAAAAGGCAAUGCCCUGUGAAACGGGAAGCCAGGGCUCUUGUGGCUUAGCAAAAGGAAAAAAUAUCAUCCCACCCUUGGCUUCCUUUCCUUUGUCAUGGAGCUGCCAGAGAAACUCCCAAAAGAGAAGCACAGUAUUCUCCACUCCAAUUGAAUGAGUCUAGCCAUUACCCUUUGAGACGCGGUAGGACGUUUUUCUAUGCAUGCAUAUACUGCAGCUGUAAAAGGGCUAUUGAUUCAGUUUAGAUGCAACGUAAGACGAUUCAGAAUCCAGGGAAAAGACAGAAAAUCACAAUGAAAAGGAGUGAAUAUAAGUGAAGAUAAAUGAAAUCAAAAUCCCAAAGAUGGGAGGAAGCAGUCAAAGAAAGAAUUUUAUAUCAUCCACCAUCAUUAGCUGUACAUUUCCCCCUUCCUGUGCUGUGUUCUUGCAUGACAUAAAUUAUUUUCUCAGUUCUA